GGAGAGGACAGACACACAGGUACACAGCCAGCUCAACACACGGGAGCCUGGGACACCUAUCACCACGUGACCUCACCACCCAAACUAAUCCCGACAACUGCGAACCAGAUACAAAGACUCACCACCACCUCAGCGGACCCCUGACCUUGGACACACACGACAUGGCCUGGCCAGUGAAGGAGGAGGCAGAGCAGCGCCCACAGCUGCCUCCCAUCGCUGGACCCUUGUGGAUGCCAGAAGACCAGGACAUGGGAGUGUCAGGAUGUGACUGGUUCUGACCAGUGCAACGGGAAGGAGAGGUCACACAGGAAGCUUCUGGAGCCGGCACGAGCCUCACCAGGAUCUGCACCACCACAGACAGGUGCCUCAUCAGCCUGGGAUCCACAAAGGCCAUACUUGGCAGAGUCUCCCUCCUGGCCACCAGUCAAAGAUAAACUGUUUCAGGGCUGGUGGGAUGGCUCAGCUGGUAAAGGGGCUUGCUGCCAGGCCUGACGACCCGAGUUCGAUCCCCGGGAA